rnacentral:rRNA from 1 species
UAAUACGUAGGGGGCAAGCGUUGUCCGGAAUUAUUGGGCGUAAAGCGCGCGCAGGCGGUCUUUUAAGUCUGAUGUGAAAGCCCACGGCUCAACCGUGGAGGGUCAUUGGAAACUGGGAGACUUGAGUGUAAGAGAGGAAAGUGGAAUUCCAUGUGUAGCGGUGAAAUGCGUAGAUAUAUGGAGGAACACCAGUGGCGAAGGCGACUUUCUGGCUUACAACUGACGCUGAGGCGCGAAAGCGUGGGGAGCAAACAGG